rnacentral:rRNA from 1 species
CCUACGGGUGGCAGCAGUGGGGAAUAUUGCGCAAUGGGCGAAAGCCUGACGCAGCGACGCCGCGUGUGGGAUGACGGCCUUCGGGUUGUAAACCACUGUCGGGAGGGACGCGGUACCUCCAAAGGAAGCACCGGCUAACUCCGUGCCAGCAGCCGCGGUAAUACGGAGGGUGCGAGCGUUGUCCGGAAUCACUGGGCGUAAAGGGCGCGUAGGCGGCCCGAUAAGUAGGAGGUGAAAUCCUGCGGCUUAACCGCAGGGCUGCCUUCUAAACUGUCGGGCUGGAGCACGGUAGAGGCAGAUGGAAUUCCCGGUGUAGCGGUGGAAUGCGUAGAGAUCGGGAAGAACAUCAGUGGCGAAGGCGGUCUGCUGGGCCGUGCUGACGCUGAGGCGCGACAGCGUGGGGAGCAAACAGGAUUAGAUACCCUUGUAGUC